UACAGAGGUCUCAAGCGUUGUUCGGAUUCAUUGGGCGUAAAGGGUGUGUAGGUGGCGCCGUUAGUCGGGUGUGAAAUUUCGGAGCUUAACUCCGAAACUGCAUUCGAUACUGCGGUGCUUGAGGACUGGAGAGGAGACUGGAAUUUACGGUGUAGCGGUGAAAUGCGUAGAGAUCAUGAGGAAGACCAGUGGCGAAGGCGGGUCUCUGGACAGUUCCUGACGCUGAGGCACGAAGGUCAGGGGAGCAAACGGGG
rnacentral:rRNA from 1 species